rnacentral:tRNA from 2 species
AGGCAUAGUUCAGCGGUAAAAUAACGGCUUCCCAAGCCGUGGUUGCGGGUUCGACUCCCGUUGCCUG